UGAGAUGAUAUUUUGCCGAUUUAACGCAU
rnacentral:piRNA from 1 species